AGUAGCAGGCAGUUUACUCUGGGCACCUUAUUCAUCCAAGCUACUCAAUACUGCCCCCAGCCAUAAGAAGUUAAAGCUCUAAUCGGCCAACCAGUAAAAUAUUACAUAGUCAGACAGAUACACUGAGUUUUUUCAGUCAUUUCUGCUGGCCUUGCAGUCUAUCCAUUACAUUUUGCUUUAGCACAGUCGCUGCUUUGUCUUGCAAACCAAGCUCAGUCACAACUUCAUAAGUGUUUGUCUAGAGCAGAAAGUCCCUAUCUAAUCUGUAAAUGUUUCACAAUGCAAUACACUUUGCCCUACAAUUAUUUGGCCAAUAGUAAAAAAAAAACUGGAAUGACAAGCACAGGUACUGUAUUCUUUACAAUCCAUUAAGAGGGAGAGGAGUUUGUUUCCACAACAAUAAACCUGUGGUCCUUUCUCCAUGGAGAUGGCCCCGGGGUCUGGUUUCCAUGACAUUAAGUGAUGUUGGUGGUGAUUCUGCUGUGGACUGCCACAUCCACAGAUGGGGGAGCUCAAGUCCGCUUGGUGACAUACAGUUAACAGAUGACAUCAAUCACCUGCAGUUCUACAAAUCUACCCAGGGCCUAAACUCACCUGGUCCACUGACCCCCCCUCUGACCUUUCAAUUUGACCCUGGAACCAUCCAGAACUCCAUC